UGAGCGUUUGAGGGCCGCAGAGACCAGGGAGAAGCGACUGUUUACUAAAAACACAGGUCCGUGCGAAGUCGCAAGACGAUGUAUACGGACUGACGCCUGCCCGGUGCUGGAACGUUAAGGGGACCGGUUAACCUUCGGGUGAAGCUGAGAACUUAAGCGCCAGUAAACGGCGGUGGUAACUAUAACCAUCCUAAGGUAGCGAAAUUCCUUGUCGGGUAAGUUCCGACCUGCACGAAUGGCGUAACGACUUCUCCGCUGUCUCAACCGCGAACUCGGCGAAAUUGCAUUACGAGUAAAGAUGCUCGUUACGCGCAGCAGGACGGAAAGACCCCGGGACCUUUACUAUAGCUUGGUAUUGGUGUUCGGUACGGCUUGUGUAGGAUAGGUGGGAGACUGUGAGCCGGCACGCUAGUGUUGGUGGAGUCGACGUUGAAAUACCACUCUGGUCGUUCUGGAUGUCUAACUUCGGUCCGUGAUCCGGAUCAGGGACAGUGCCUGGUGGGUAGUUUAACUGGGGCGGUUGCCUCCUAAAGAGUAACGGAGGCGCCCAAAGGUUCCCUCAGCCUGGUUGGCAAUCAGGUGUCGAGUGUAAGUGCACAAGGGAGCUUGACUGUGAGACCGACAGGUCGAGCAGGGACGAAAGUCGGGACUAGUGAUCCGGCCGUGGAUGGUGGAAUCGCGGUCGCUCAACGGAUAAAAGGUACCCCGGGGAUAACAGGCUGAUCUUGCCCAAGAGUCCAUAUCGACGGCAUGGUUUGGCACCUCGAUGUCGGCUCGUCGCAUCCUGGGGCUGGAGUAGGUCCCAAGGGUUGGGCUGUUCGCCCAUUAAAGCGGUACGCGAGCUGGGUUUAGAACGUCGUGAGACAGUUCGGUCCCUAUCCGCUGCGCGCGUUGGAAACUUGAGAAGGGCUGUCCCUAGUACGAGAGGACCGGGACGGACGAACCUCUGGUGUGCCAGUUGUCCUGCCAAGGGCACCGCUGGUUAGCUACGUUCGGAAGGGAUAACCGCUGAAGGCAUCUAAGCGGGAAGCUCGCUUCAAGAUGAGGUUUCCAUGGCACCUUUGAGUGUCGGGAGGCUCCCAGCUAGACUACUGUUGAUAGGCCGGAUGUGGAAGCGGGGACUGAAGACCCGUGAAGCUGACCGGUACUAAUACGCCGAUGACUUACUACA
rnacentral:rRNA from 1 species